rnacentral:rRNA from 1 species
UGGGGAAUAUUGCACAAUGGAGGGAACUCUGAUGCAGCGACGCCGCGUGAACGAAGAAGGCUUUCGAGUCGUAAAGUUCUUUUAUAUGGGAAGAUAAUGACGGUACCAUAAGAAAAAGCCCCGGCUAACUACGUGCCAGCAGCCGCGGUAAUACGGAAGGUUCGGGCGUUAUCCGGAUUUAUUGGGUUUAAAGGGAGCGUAGGCCGUUUGGUAAGCGUGUUGUGAAAUGUAGGAGCUCAACUUCUAGAUUGCAGCGCGAACUGUCAGACUUGAGUGCGCACAACGUAGGCGGAAUUCAUGGUGUAGCGGUGAAAUGCUUAGAUAUCAUGAAGAACUCCGAUUGCGAAGGCAGCUUACGGGAGUGUUACUGACGCUUAAGCUCGAAGGUGCGGGUAUCGAACAGG